AACGAACGCUGGCGGCAUGCCUAACACAUGCAAGUCGAACGAGACCUUCGGGUCUAGUGGCGCACGGGUGCGUAACGCGUGGGAACCUGCCCUUAGGUUCGGAAUAACUCCCCGAAAGGGGUGCUAAUACCGGAUAAUGUCUUCGGACCAAAGAUUUAUCGCCUUUGGAUGGGCCCGCGUUGGAUUCGCUAGUUGGUAGGGUAAAAGCCUACCACGGCGACGAUCCAUAGCUGGUCUGAGAGGAUGAUCAGCCACACUGGGACUGAGACACGGCCCAGACUCCUACGGGAGGCAGCAGUGGGUAAUAUUGGACAAUGGGCGAAAGCCUGAUCCAGCAAUGCCGCGUGAGUGAUGAAGGCCUUAGGGUUGUAAAGCUCUUUUACCCGGGAUGAUAAUGACGGUACCGGGAGAAUAAGCUCCGGCUAACUCCGUG
rnacentral:rRNA from 1 species